rnacentral:rRNA from 1 species
AUUGAACGCUGGCGGCAGGCUUAACACAUGCAAGUCGAGCGGAGUGAUGGUGCUUGCACUAUCACUUAGCGGCGGACGGGUGAGUAAUGCUUAGGAAUCUGCCAUUUAGUGGGGGACAACAUUCCGAAAGGAAUGCUAAUACCGCAUACGUCCUACGGGAGAAAGCAGGGGAUCUUCGGACCUUGCGCUAAAUGAUGAGCCUAAGUCGGAUUAGCUAGUUGGUGGGGUAAAGGCCUACCAAGGCGACGAUCUGUAGCGGGUCUGAGAGGAUGAUCCGCCACACUGGGACUGAGACACGGCCCAGACUCCUACGGGAGGCGGCAGUGGGGAAUAUUGGACAAUGGGCGGAAGCCUGAUCCAGCCAUGCCGCGUGUGUGAAGAAGGCCUUUUGGUUGUAAAGCACUUUAAGCGAGGAGGAGGCUACUAGUACUAAUACUACUGGAUAGUGGACGUUACUCGCAGAAUAUGCACCGGCUAACUCUGUGCCAGCCGCCGCAGUAAGAC